rnacentral:rRNA from 1 species
AUUCAGGAACUCAUUGAGGAAUAUAAGGAUGUCUUUGCUGUUCUUGUUGGUUUGCCUCCUGAAAGAGCUUGUGAUCAUGCCAUUCCUCUUAUACCUGGUGCUAGACCAUUUUCUCACAGGCCUUACAGACUGGCCCCCGAGUUGAAGGAUGAGGUAGAGAAGCAAAUUCAGGAAAUGUUGGACUCUGGUGUUAUUAGAAGGAGUAACAGU